CUGAAACACCAGUUUCAAUGUUCUCCUGCAAAAAA
rnacentral:sRNA from 1 species